rnacentral:rRNA from 1 species
CGUGCCCGGUAGUGCGGGAUAGCUCGGCGAAAGCCGGAUUAAUACCGCAUGAGAUCCGAGGAUGAAAGCAGGGGACCCGCAAGGGCCUUGCGCUACUGGAGCGGCCGAUGUCAGAUUAGGUAGUUGGUGAGGUAAAGGCUCACCAAGCCUGCGAUCUGUAGCUGGUCUGAGAGGAUGAUCAGCCACAUCGGGACUGAGACACGGCCCGAACUCCUACGGGAGGCAGCAGUGGGGAAUUUUGGACAAUGGGCGCAAGCCUGAUCCAGCCAUGCCGCGUGCAGGAUGAAGGCCUUCGGGUUGUAAACUGCUUUUGUACGGAACGAAAAGCCUCUCUUUAAUAAAUGGGGGUGAUGACGGUACCGUAAGAAUAAGCACCGGCUAACUACGUGCCAGCAGCCGCGGUAAUACGUAGGGUGCGAGCGUUAAUCGGAAUUACUGGGCGUAAAGCGUGCGCAGGCGGUCUUGCAAGACAGUGGUGAAAUCCCCGGGCUCAACCUGGGAACUGCCAUUGUGACUGCAAGGCUGGAGUACGGCAGAGGGGGAUGGAAUUCUGCGUGUAGCAGUGAAAUGCGUAGAUAUGCGGAGGAACACCGAUGGCGAAGUCAAUCCCCUGGGCAUGCACUGACGCUCAUGCACGUAAGCUUGGGGAGCAAACAGGAUUAGAUACCCUGGUAGUCCACGCCCUAAAUGAUGUCUACUGGUUGUUGGGGAUUAACUUUCUCAGUAACGAAGCUAACGCGUGAAGUUGACCGCCUGGGGAGUACGUCCGCAAGGUUAAAACUCAAAGGAAUUGACGGGGACCCGCACAAUCGGUGGAUGAUG